UACGAAGGGGGCUAGCGUUGCUCGGAAUCACUGGGCGUAAAGGGUGCGUAGGCGGGUCUUUAAGUCAGGGGUGAAAUCCUGGAGCUCAACUCCAGAACUGCCUUUGAUACUGCGAAUCUCGAGUCCGGAAGAGGUGAGUGGAAUUCCUAGUGUAGAGGUGAAAUUCGUAGAUAUUAGGAAGAACACCAGUGGCGAAGGCGGCUCACUGGUCCGGUACUGACGCUGAGGUGCGAAAGCGUGGGGAGCAAACAGG
rnacentral:rRNA from 1 species